rnacentral:rRNA from 1 species
AGACGGAGGGCGCAAGCGUUGUUCGGAAUUACUGGGCGUAAAGGGCAGGUAGGUGGUCUGUUAAGUCUUCUGUGAAAAUCCGGGGCUCAACCCCGUGAAAUGCAGGUGAAACUGGCAGACUUGAGACCGGUAGAGGCUAGCGGAAUUCCUGGUGUAGCGGUGGAAUGCGUAGAUAUCAGGAAGAACACCUGUGGCGAAGGCGGCUAGCUGGGCCGGUUCUGACACUGAACUGCGAAAGCGUGGGGAGCAAACAGGAUUAGAAACCCCAGUAGUCC